GCCGAGGUAGCUAAGCCCGGUUUACGGCGCCAGCCUCGAGAGCUGGUGGCAGUCUCUGCCGCGGGAGUUCAAAUCUCCCCCUCGGCG
rnacentral:tRNA from 1 species